UUAUUGUAUUAUCUAUGCUUAAUGAUGCUUGCAAAUUCAAGGAUUUGCAUGUUGGUGCUUCAUAGUUGAUAUCCCUUAUUUAUUAGGUAUUAUAGGGAUUGGUCUUGAAGAGCAAUGAAAACCAGCGAUUCAUGGUUGAAACAUUUGUCGAUGUUAUAGUAACAGACUAUAUAUAUCUGAUGUCAUAUCGGUUCUUUGUUGGACCAAUGUCUUCUAACCUGUUCACUAGACAAAAGGAUAAAAGUUUUGAUGCUUUCACUUUGUAAGAUGAUAUAUAUGUUAUUUGUUCUUGCAAUUACAACAAAACGUAUUUCACUUUGUGAUUCUACUUGGUGCAAAAGUAGAAUGCUAUGCUAUAUGUAACAUUACCAGGAAAUUUGUUGGUAACUCAAGGUAAAGGUAGGUUUGGCAUACAGGGCCAAGCCAGGCUGUGAAUUCUUAGAUGAUAUGUGAUAAGCCUCAAGAACUUCUAGUUAACAGCAGGAGGGGUAGAAAGGUCAAUAUAUAAUAAAGCAACUUUUGAGUGUGGUGAAGUGUCUAUUUCCGUUUUUUUCUUUAUCCUUCGUGGGGAAUAUUUCCAGCUGAGUUAUGGUCCCAGUGGUCCUUAUUUUGAGGUUUAUUCCCUUAUACUAGGAGAGUAUUUAAGCUUGUUUGCAGUGUGGGGUUGUUUAUCGAGAAUUUUGUUAUUGCUCUUAUGAACCUUGGAGAGACUCUCACCUCUAUAAUUCAGUUACCUGAGGACAAUAUUGAUUCUGCAAGGAGGGCAUAUAAAUUUGAAGAGAAGUCUGAAGAGCAUUCCUACAGUAACAUUUUCCUCUGAUCACAAGUGUUUGACAAUUGGGAAAAGGAUGAUGGUUGCAGGUGCAACCGGGGGGAGUCCGGGUUUGAUUGCUGAUGCCUUGACAGAGAAGGAUAUUCAUGGUUCAUAUACAAGUGGAGGUUGGAAAAGUGAUGUCAGCAGAUGGAAGAACGAAUCUUGUGUUGAGGGGAAUAAGACAUGGGGUAUGUGAUUACUUAAUCAAGCCUAUAUAUGAAGAACAACUAAAGAACAUAUGGCAACAUGUUAUAAGAAAAAAGUGGAAUGAAAAUAAAGAACAUGAAAAUUCAGGGAGCAUAGAGCACAAAAGUGGAGGAGGAGCUGAUGAUAAUCAUGAUAGUGAGUAUGGUUCUUCUGUUAAUGGAGGAGGAGAAAAUGGGGUGCUGACGUGUCAUAAAAAAAGGAGAAGUAUUAAAGAAGAAGAUGAUUGUGAACUUGAAAGUGAUGUUCCAUCUGCUUCAAAAAAGCCACGUGUUGUUUGGUCUAUGGAGUUGCAUCAACAAUUCGUUAGUGCUGUGAAUCAACUUGGAAUCGAUAGUAUGUUAUUAUUAUUAUUUUUUUCAAUUAUUAUUAUUAUUUAAUAGAUGUUGCUCAGGGUAUUGUUGCUUUUACAAUGGACGACCCUCUGCAUAAGCUUUUUAUCGAUUUAUAUUUUCUAUUAUCAUAUCUUCUCACUUCUCAAUGACAUUAUGUGUUUGUUAUAGUAUCAAGUUCCAGAGAAUGAUGUCAAAGGAAUUUCUAAGGAUAAACCGUUGUAUGAUCUAUCUGUUUCUUUACUUUAAUGAGUAAAAUUUAAGUUCUAAGGAUAUUCAUAUUCCCAUUCAUUCUUGAUUUAUAUAUCUACAUGGUAUAAUUAUUUUUAAUUCUUCCUUUUGCAAAAAGGUAUGCUUUUGAGUAGAAGGAGACUUUGCUUUCCUUAAAGAAGAGUGGCAAAAUCAAUGAAUUAUUAUUACAGGUAAAACUAGUUGACCAUUUUUUUAUUUUUUAUAUUAACUUUUUAAAUUCAUAAGACAUAACAAGAUUACCUCAAUCAUGCUUUUUAUGGUAAAGAGUACAUCUUGUUGCUAAACUCAGAUAAUUUUGCUGAAGUUGUGGACCCAAGUAUCCUUUUUAAGUUUAUAAUUGUUAGUUUCUUUUUGACUUAAUGAACUUAAGAUAUAUAUUUGAGUAUGGCUUCUCAAAUAUUUUUAUAAACAUCAUUUAUCCUAGGAAAAAUGUUAUAAAUUAAACAAUUAAACAAUAACCAACUAUAUGAUUUUGGGAUCCUUAUGAUAUGUACCAGAGAUUCUAAAUCAUCUUAUCCAGAAGAACAUUGAGUAUUGCAUGGAGGUGUCACAAGUUUCAAGUGAAUGGGAAGCUAGUGCCCUAAUUGAGGUUAAUGUGUCUCCUUUAAGCAACAACUCGUUAUUUCCCUAUCUACUGAUGACCCCUUACAAAUCUAUCUCACAAAGGAACCCUUGGUGGAGGAAUACAAUAUUGUUGCUUCUGUGAUGGGAAUUAAAGUAUCUUAAAUUCUUUUUUUACAGGUCUGGAAGUUGAGUUCAUGUGAUCUUUGUGUAUAUCUUCUUAGUUUGUAUAGCAUUACAUUGUAGAAGGUGUCCCUUAAUAGCAAUGUAGUAUUAGGUUAUAUAGUUAGGGAAAACCUCUUAAUAACAAUGUACAAUUAGAUCCCCUUAGUAUCUAUGUAUUACAAUUUUUUCA